UACGUAGGGUGCGAGCGUUAAUCGGAAUUACUGGGCGUAAAGCGUGCGCAGGCGGUUCGUUAUGUCUGUUGUGAAAGCCCCGGGCUCAACCUGGGAAUGGCAAUGGAAACUGGCGAGCUAGAGUGUGGCAGAGGGGGGUGGAAUUCCGCGUGUAGCAGUGAAAUGCGUAGAUAUGCGGAGGAACACCGAUGGCGAAGGCAAUCCCCUGGGCCUGCACUGACGCUCAUGCACGAAAGCGUGGGGAGCAAACAGG
rnacentral:rRNA from 1 species